rnacentral:rRNA from 1 species
UCGCACCUACCGAUUGAGCGUUCCGGUGAAAUCUCGGGAUUGUAGUUGGGUCCUUUAUUGGACUCUGCAGCGAGAACUUGCUUAAACCUUAUCGCUUAGAGGAAGUAA